rnacentral:rRNA from 1 species
AUUGAACGCUGGCGGCAGGCCUAACACAUGCAAGUCGAACGAGUGGCGGACGGGUGAGUAAUGUCUGGGAAACUGCCUGAUGGCGGGGGAUAACUCCUGGAAACGGUAGCUAAUCCCGCAUACCAUCGGAUGUGCCCAGAUGGGAUUAGCUAGUAGGUGGGGUAUCGGCUAACCUAGGCGCCGAUCCCUAGCUGGUCUGAGAGGAUGACCAGCCACACUGGAACGGAGACACGGUCCAGACUCCUACGGGAGGCAGCAGUGGGGAAUAUUGCACAAUGGGCGCAAGCCUGAUGCAGCCAUGCCGCGUGUAUGAAGAAGGCCUUCGGGUUGUAAAGUACUGUCAGCGGGGAGGCGUUACCCGCAGAAGAAGCACCGGCUAACUACGUGCCAGCAGCCGCGGUAAUUC